UUUUUUUAAAUUUAUUCUACUUUUCCCUAAAUUACUUAAAAUCUUAGAUUAAUUAGGAAUUUAUAUUUUUAAAAUAGUUUGAAGAUGAUAACAUAAACAUUAGUUUUAUUCGCCUUUAGGUAGUGACAUGAAUUAUAGUUAGAUGAAUGCUAAACCAACAAGUGUUGAGUAUGAUAAUGGGGUGAGAGUUUUUGAAAUUUGUUAAGAAAAAUAUUGUUAACAAUAGUAGGAGGUUCUAUUGUCCUUGCGUAAAUUGCUUGAAUGAAAAGAGACUAAGUGUUGAGAGAACAUUUGAUUUGCGAUGGCAUUUGCAAGAAUUAUAUAGUAUGGAUUUGGCAUGAUGAAUGAUUGGAAAAUUAUAGUGGUACAUUUCAAUAUGUGAAAGUUGAUCACAAUCUUGAUGAUGAAGUAGAUAUGGAUGAAUAUUGACUAGAGGACAUGAUUUGUAAUGUUGGUAAAGAGGCUUUUGAACAAGCACAUGUAUAAAAUAACUUAUGCACUAAUGCAAAUAAGCCUUUGUACCUAAGGUGUACUAAUUUUAGUCUAUUGUCUGUGGUGUUAAAAUUGAUUUCCUUGAAGGCAAGAGCUGGGUGAAGUGACUAGAGUUUUACAUAGUUGUUAGAGUUACUUCAAAUAAUGUUUCCAAAAGAAAAUGUACUACCAAAUCGUAACUAUGAUGCUAAGAAGAUCUUGUGCCCAAUAAGUAUGAAUUUCAAAAAGGUACACGCAUGUCUUAAAGAUUGUGUGCUGUACAAAAAAGAUCAAGAAGGUGAGGAGAAGUGUUCAAGAUGCGAGGCACCACAAUACAAAGAGAAGGGGAAUCCUGCAAAGGUGUUGUGGUAUAUUUCGAUUAUACCAAGGUUCAAACGUUUGUUUGUGAAUACUAAUGAUGCAAAGAACUUGAGAUGGCAUGCAAAUAAGAAGAUAUCUGAUGGAAAAUUUCAACAUCCAGAUGAUUCUUCUAAGUGGAAAAAAAUUGAUCGAUUAUUUUCUGAAUUUGGCAAUGAGCCAAGGAACUGAGACUUGGACUUUCUACUAAUGGAAUGAAUCCUUAUGGUAGCUUGAGUAGUAUACGUAGCAUAUGGCCUGUUCUUUUAGUGAUUUAUAACUUGUGACCUCGAUUAUGCAUGAAACAAAUGUACAAGAUGCUAUCCAUGUUGAUUUCAGGAUCAAAACAACUUGAAAAUGACAGUGAUAUUUGUCUAAGACCUUUGAUUGAAGACUUGAAAGAAUUGUGAGAGGUAGGUAUGGAUGUGUUUGACGCAAAUUGGAAGAAGAAUUUUAAGUUACAUGCUAUGAUCUUUUGCACUAUAAAUGACUUUCCUGCUUAUGGGAAUUUGUUUGAGUAUAGUGUCAAGGAUCAUAAAGUAUGUUCACUUUGUGAAAAAAGCACAUGCUACCAUCAACUUCAACAUGGAAAGAAGACAAUCUACUUUGGACAUUGAAGAUUUCUUAAACGAGAUCAUCCUUAUCAUAAACAUUUCAUACAUUUUAUUACAUAAUUCUUUCUUAUAUUAUUUUUUAAUUAACUAUAUCUUAUCUUUUCAACUUUCCUUACUAAAUGAUCCCCUGCUGAAAUUUCCACAACCCUCGUUGCAAACGUAGCCACCACAGUUAACUCCUCUCCAAUAAAUAAUUUUAUUAGCUUACGAUAAAUCAUUCCAAGUAACAAUUUUUGCAAAGGGAAAGGAUAUUGUAGGUAUGGAGAAUCUGAUAAUAAUUGAACGAGAAGAGUUGAAUCGGUUCCUCUCGAAAAGUCAGCUUACCACAGGGUCAACUGAGAUAUUUAUGUUGUACCUCCAUCGUUUGUGCAUUACAUUGGGCAAAGGUGAUAAUUUUGAAUUUCUUUGCCCUCAUCAUGUGAUGAAGAAAGGGAACACUUUACAAAUCAGAUCCCGGUACCUCCAAUAAUGAAUAUGUGAAUUCAAAACUGAUGUUUUCAUGGCUCCAUAUGUGCACUCGGACUACUGUCAACUAAUUGUUCUUUCAUUGAAGAAUAAUAUAGUCCUUUUCUUAUGCUCCUUCCAUUACAAACCAAACAAGGACAAAAGAAGGCAAUGGACUCGUAAGUGUACUUGUACAAAAACUAUCAAUUUUUAUGGAUGUAUUAACUACAAAUCUCGUGAUGUUCAUCAUUGGGCAAUGAAAACAUAUCAAGCAAUGGGCCUGAAAAAGCACGCACAUGAACUAAAGGGUUUUAUGUGGAUUAAGCCAAAGAGUUGUAAGCAAUCACAGAAGACUAGUUUGUGUGGCGUAUAUGUGAUGAGGCACAUGCUCAACAUCAUCACAUUGGGAAUGACUAAAUUUUCAAAUGAGA